rnacentral:sRNA from 1 species
AGAAUGGAGAGAGCCAGGGGCAGGCAGGGUGGGUGUUCCAGAGAGAGGGCACCGUACAAGCAGAGGUGCACAGGAGAGCAUGACCAACUCCGGGCUCAGAACAGGAGGGCGGCCACCGGGUGGGCCUUAAUGUCCUGGUUCAGAAAGCCAACAAGUUCACCCCAGCCACCCGCCUUCUCAUCCAGAGGUUUGUGCCGUUCCCUGCUGUAGCCAGUGCCAAUAUCUGCAAUGUGGUCCUGAUGCGGUACGGGGAGCUGGAGGAAGGGAUUGAUGUCCUGGACAGCGAUGGCAACCUCGUGGGCUCCUCCAAGAUUGCAGCCCGACACGCCCUGCUGGAGACGGCGCUGACGCGAGUGGUCCUGCCCAUGCCCAUCCUGGUGCUACCCCCGAUCGUCAUGUCCAUGCUGGAGAAAAUGUCAUCUCCAUGAGGCACGUCCAUCCUUUUGUUCACUGCCCUGCCCAGCAUCUAGCACAGUUCCUGCCACACAAUAGAUGCUCAGACGGCUCUCCUGCAGGCACGCCCCCGGCUGCUCCUCCCUGUGCAAA